CACGGCUCAGGAGUUUCCCUGUUGACCAGGUUCCUGCUGUUUGUCUAUAAGACAGGCAGCAGGGUGGACGGAGGAGCCAGAGCCUACAGCAGCAGAGACAGUCCGCUGUGAAGACCUCUGCCCUCUCAGAUUUGUCUCACUGCGAAGAUCUCUCUGCUCUCUGUCCUUCCUGAGCCUCUGACCUACCAAAGAAUGAACCCUCCGACCAUCACUCUGCUCCUCGUGCUGCUCUGCGCCCUGUCACUGACCUGCUCGGCGACUAAAGGCUCCAAUUCUGGUGCAGACUGCUGCGCAAAGCUGAUCAAAAAUAUAAUCCCUAAGAAACUAAUUGUUUCCUAUAAGAAAACCAACUCUGAAUGCAUCCCAUCUGCCAUUGUAUUUCUGACAACAAGAGGGAAAAAUAUCUGCGCUGAUCCCAGUCAGAGCUGGGUGAAACAACACAUGGAAUAUGUGGAGAGCUUGCCUACCAAUUCCUCAGAAGUGCAACACCAGUCAUAAAAGCUUCAACCACAAGCCUGCACUCAUUUUGGUCUUCAAAAACACCUAAUCACUAAAGAGUGGGAUUCGAUCAAGACACAGAGCAGAUCUUGCAAUCAUGUUUCUUUAUAAAAAUAUAAAAUAAUAAUAAUUAAUAAUAAUAAUUGCUUACACUUAUAUAGCGCUUUUC